UAAAAUGCAGUGCAGGCAGACAAUAAGGUAGAAGGCCAAAGGAUCAUUGGGAGGUCAGCAUUGAGUUUUUUUGGGACUAUGUUCCUAAACUGUAGAAUUCAACAGCUUAAACUACAGUACUGUGCAGAAGUCUGAGGUGUAUAUUAGGACUGACACAGUCUGUCUUUUGUUUUCUAGUUUGCACUUUAUCCCGUUGUGAUGCGGUUUGAACGGCAUCGUCUGGAUGAAAGGAUCGGAUGCAGUAUGAUAUGAAGGACUCUAACUCCAAAAGUGGAAGAGAUCGGUUUCAGACCAGGAUAAUUUACCAAAAUUACACAUCAAAAUGGGCACAGUGAGUGUUUACUACCUUCGUUAUAUUUUUACUGUUCAGCUCUGUUUGGCAGAUUUUCUUGAUCCUUGAUGUAAAUUCAAAGUUUGUUCAGCCAAGCAGUAAAUUCAGAUUUUCUUCAGCCUUGAAGUAAAUUUUGUUAGAAGGUUUUCCUUUAUCACACGAUUAUCUAUUUUCUUUGCUUAUUGAUAUCCUAAAUAUCCGUUUCAUAUUCUGUUGCAUUGCAUCCUGAUGCUCUGUUUGAUAUUCUACCGGCUCUAUUGCACCUUUCUUUAUGUUUAAUCAUGUUCUGUACUUUCCUAGUCUGAAGUUCAUGCUUAUAUAUUUGGAAAUUAGUUCCAGUAUUUGAAAUGUUUGUUUCAGCUUUACUGAUGCAAGAGCAAAUAAUUUCAAAUCCUCAAUGUAUAGCUGUGUCAAGGUAAAAUUUGUAUUUUUUUCUGAUUAGAUACCUGAUUUUUGUCUGUUUCAGUAAAUUAUGAGUGGGCUUAAAACCAGACAAAACCACAGUGGGCUUAGUGAGUCGCUCUGGAAAACCCCUCCAUUU